rnacentral:lncRNA from 1 species
UUUUAGUUUUCAAAUAAACCAAGAAACAACCAAAUAAUCAUGCAUAUCAAUCCACCAGCAUCGAGACUGUAUGUGCCCAAAUUCCACAGCAUUUACUAAAUUUAGUUAGUCCCUAGUCUUCAGUAUUUCCUGCCAGUCUUAAAAACCAAAUCUCAGCCUGAACUAGCUGUUGAUCGGUGAGGUGACAAAAACAGUUUGCUUUGGCCAUAGUGGUGCUAACAGGGCAGGAGUUUGACUUUGUCAGCCUGAGAGGGACAGUCGAGGGCCCUGGGUCCACAGCGAGCUGCCCAAGUACUGGGGUGCACACUCAUCUUCUAUUCAAAAUUGCAGCCUGCUGCGACUACAGGUCCCAGAGCUCACAGCUCCAGAGCCCAAACACUAGCGACAGAGCCAUCAGGGAGAGGUGGUCAUUCUAUAUUGCAUUUUAUUCGCCCAAACUGCACGUCUGAAGUGCUGAAAGACAUCUGAAUAGAUGUGAGCACCUGCCAUGCCUCUCCUUGGUAGCGAAGCUGUGGUUGCAGUAAGCUGUAUCUCUGAAUGUCAGACGCGUUUCUCCACUCUGUGGCCCUGGGAGGAGAUGCUAAUACAGUGAUUAGAUGGCUACUGUUUUCAUCCCUCUAGCACAUAUAUUAACUCCCGGACUGAGGAGCACAGCUAAGGGCUCAUGUACUCCUGUCUGUCUAGUCUUUUAACUUUUUGCUUUCAAAGUGAAAGUGUAAAUAAUCGUAUACAAUACAUAAUAUAAACUUAAAGCUCACACAUUUUCUUUUCUCUGUUCUACAACUGAAAGGAAAUUCAUAGUAUAUCAUGGCAUAAAAUAAUAUUUCUGGCUAUUUCAGGCACGUAUAUAAGCUGUAUAAAUAACUAUAGCAGCAGAGAAAAACGUAUAAAGUUACACUUUUAUGACAUCUUCACAGUAUGCCUAUUUCUCUCACCCACUUUUGUGUUCCAUUGUUCCAUUAGUAAAAAAUAAUAUCAUUUAUCAACUCCAACUAUGCAAAAUAUAUUUUUUUUUCCUUUUUUUAGUAGUGGAUCUUGUAUUGCACAGAUUAAAAAGACAUUUAUUACAAUUUUUUCAUUAUUAAAUAAUUUUCAAUACAAAAAUUUGAAUUAACCUAAAAGCCCAACCCUGCAAGUGCUUCAGAAGUGGAGUGGUAUUCUUCAGGCAAGCAUUCCAGUUGACUUUCAUCAAGUACUCAGGUAGCUUUGUGGACAAUGCAGAGAGUCACAGGACUGGGCUUCAAGUGUGCAAAUCUUAGCUUAUGGAUCAGCAACAACACCAGCCUUGCUUUAUAACAGUAUUAUUGGGAAACACCAAGAAGGGAAUUCUGAACAUCAGCCAUGGACAUUCAAAAGAGAAACACCCUUUUCAGUGGAGGAUGUCUUUUUCCUUAAGCGCAGUCUUUGUUCAGUACACAGGCUGCUUCAAGUCCAUUCUUGCUACAUUAACAAUUUCCCAUCAGUCCUGUUAUUCAGCUUAGAGGCACAGUAAAUACAAUUAAUUAUACCUGUAAGUAGGUGUCAUAUUAACAAAAUGCUACAUAGAUACUUUACUUAUUCUCAGCGGAUUUACACUGGUUUCAUAUGAGCAGAAUUGAGUGGAAAGCAGAACCAGAGCAAUAAUGUGUGUGUACAGUCUCACACGUGACCUAGCUAGGCAGCGAUGUAAAGCUGUUCAAGAGCACUGUGCCAGGGUGUUUAAGGUCAUCUGUCAUGUUACUACGUGAUGAGGAGAAAGAGGCUUAUGAACUGUGUCCAUUAUUAGCUGAGAGAAAAGAUGAAAAUAGCUGUGUGCUACUACGUCAUCCUUUUGGGUGCACAUUUGUGAACUCUGGAGGUGCAGAGGAGGGAGCUAAACAAAAACAUUAAAAUAAAGAGCAGAACAAUGUGUGUCUUUCUGAAAAUCAUGAACAGUGUGCGUACACAGUAUAUACGAUCAGACUUUUGCCCUCAGAUCAUGUAUUAUUGAGUGAGUUCCAUUUCGCUCAGCAUAAAAUAUGACACCAUGAUAUACAGCGUGAGAUAAUUUAUAGGGUAUAUUUGGUAUGUCUUCACAGUGUAAUUGCACUGCUGAUAACUAACAUGGUCAUCUUCGCUCCUCAGCUACCACUGCAAGGACUAAAUGCAGCAUAUGUAACAAUGGCAAUUUUCAUGAUGCCCUAAGUUCAGCCAUUAUUAGCAGAGUCGAUAUUGAUCUAAAGCUGCCAUGCUUGUUUGUCCUUGCUUGCUAACCUAGAGUCAACCUAGCAUAGGAAACAGAAUAAAAGGCCUGCAGAAAAUAAGCACAUUGUGGUUUUGCUUAGAUUUCCCUCUGUGAAAAUGGCUUCCACUAUAACGCUAGUUCCCUUCUUCUUCAGUUCUAACUAAGGGGGGCAAAUAUUGAGGUUUGUGUGAGGCCAAAGAGGAUGUACAAGAGGAAUGAGCAGUAUUUUCAUACAGUGACACCUAAAAGGUUAACCAAGCCUACAUGUUCUGAGCAGCUGUAAAAGCUGAUACGAAGGGUAGCUACUGAGGCACAUGAGGGUGUUUGGUCAAGAAAGGACAAGACUCUAGAUGGAGUAGGAAGGACAAGUGACUAUCAGGCUGUUUCCUUCUCUCUAGGAAAACCAGAGUGACAUGGAUGCAUAGUCCUGUUGGUUCUGCUUUAGAACAAUUUAAGAAAACUAUGUCAGAGCUGCCUAGCAGAUGUCUUCAGCACUGUGAGGCAGCUGUUCCUACUGCAAGGAGAGCACAGAUCAUGGUGAAAUCACAGCAGUUUUGGACCAUGGCUACAGCAGUUCCUCAGUUAGGCACUUAGGUGUACUGGCUGGUUCUCAGGAGGCCUUCAGAAAUAUUUAUUUCUCUCCAAAAUAAAAAUUGAAUUUAGGCACUUGUCUUCAGCAGCAGGCUAAGAUUUCUCUAGGUGAAGUAUGGGUAGAUACAUGAAAGGAGAACUAUCAAGCCCUUCCUUCCUUUUGUGAUGGAGAAGAACUGUGUACUGCCUCUUCUCUAUUUGUUGAAGAGCAUUUUAUAAAGACAAAGAAUAGCUGAACAGAGUACUCAGUCCCUUGAAUAAGAAGCCUCUUUGCAGAGGGGAGUAGAUGUGCCUAAUCCACUUGGCUGGGCAGGAUAUCUGGUGAGUGGUCUUUGAUUGCGCUUCUUGCUAAUUACUAAAUGCUUUGACUCAUCCCAUGACUAGCACAGCCCUGCCAGCCUACACCCCCUUGUUUACUGAUGAGUCUUUUUCUAUUCCAGUUGCUCUUGUGGUGGUGACAUCAGGCAACAUCUAAGUAGAGGAAUCUUUCUAUGAGGAUGUGCUGGGGCCAUGCUUUCUCUUUGUGAAAGCAAGUAGCGUUCGAAGGAGACCAACACUUGGGCCAAGACAGCUAUGCUGCAAGCAGCUUAAGGCCAAAGCCAGUUGUGUAACCUGCGGGAUAUAUACCUUUAUCUGUCUUCAGUAUGUUUAUAAUCUCUCCUUUUAGCUGUCAUGGUACAGCAUUGCUUUUAAUGAGCUAUGGAAGUUGCCAGACUUCACAUCCUUACAGGUCAGUUAGUUAACAUGAAUGUCUGAGGUGUUUCCUCGAGGUGUAAUCUUUUUUAUUAUAAUUAUGUGCAUGUGAAAAUACACAGACACAGGCUGCGCUCUGAUUCUGCUCUCUUAAACCAGUGUAAAGGAAUCAGAAUGUGACCAGUCUCCCCUCAAAGCAUUUGCGGGGGGAAAGGUCUGCUAGACUUCACGGCAGUGCAUGUUGUUUGAUAUUUUUCUACUAUGUCACAUUAG